rnacentral:rRNA from 1 species
AUUGAACGCUGGCGGCAGGCCUAACACAUGCAAGUCGAGCGAGCGGGGGACGGGGGAGUAAAGUCUGGGAAACUGUCUGUUGGAGGGGGGUAACUAAUGGAAACGCUAGAUAUAAUCGCGUAUCCUCUGAUGUGUCCCAAUGGGAGUAGCUAGGAGGUGGGGUAACGGGUCACCUAGGCGACGAUCCCUAUCUGGUCUGAGAGGAUGACCAGCCACACUGGAACUGAGACACGGUCCAGACUCCUACGGGAGGCAGCAGUGGGGAAGAUUGCACAAUGGGCGCAAGCCUGAUGCAGCCAUGCCGCGUGUAUGAAGAAGGCCUUCGGGUUGUAAAGCACUUUCAGCGGGGAGGCGUUACCCGCAGAAGAAGCACCGGCUAACUCCGUGCCAGCAGCCGCGGUAAUAC